UAAGGUAGCGAAAUUCCUUGUCAGGUAAGUUCUGACCCGCACGAAAGGCGUAACGAUUUGGGCGCUGUCUCAGCUGUAGACUCGGUGAAGUCUUAGUACCUGUGAAGAUGCAGGUUACCCGCGACUAGACGGAAAGACCCCAUGGAGCUUCACUGCAGGUUGAUAUUGGGAUUUGAUGCAGCAUGUACAGGAUAGGUAGGAGGCAAAGAGAUGGAUACGCCAGUAUUCAAGGAGCCGCUGUUGGGAUACUACCCCUGUUGUAUUGGAUUUCUAACCGGACGACGUAGAGCCGUUGACGGGACAGUGUCAGUCGGGCAGUUUGACUGGGGCGGUCGCCUCCCAAAGAGUAACGGAGGCGCCCAAAGAUACCCUCAGCUUGGAUGGAAACCAAGCGCAGAGUGCAAAGGCAAAAGGGUGUUUGACUGCGAGACCCACAAGUCGAGCAGGGACGAAAGUCGGGCUUAGUGAUCCGGCGGUGCUGAAUGGAAAGGCCGUCGCUCAACGGAUAAAAGCUACCCUGGGGAUAACAGGCUGAUCUCCCCCAAGAGUUCACAUCGACGGGGAGGUUUGGCACCUCGAUGUCGGCUCAUCGCAUCCUGGAGCUGAAGUCGGUUCCAAGGGUUGGGCUGUUCGCCCAUUAAAGCGGUACGCGAGCUGGGUUCAGAACGUCGUGAGACAGUUCGGUCCCUAUCUGUCGUGGGCGCAGGAAAUUUGAGAAGAGCUGUCCUCAGUACGAGAGGACCGGGAUGGACGCAUCAAUGGUGGACCAGUUGUCACGCCAGUGGCAUAGCUGGGUAGCUAAAUGCGGAAGGGAUAAACGCUGAAGGCAUCUAAGUGUGAAACCCACUUCAAGAUGAGAUUUCCCAUUGCGCAAGCAAGUAAGACCCCUUAAAGACGAUAAGGUAGAUAGGUCAGGAGUGUAAGCAUGGUGACAUGUUAAGCGGACUGAUACUAAUAGGUCGAGGGCUUGACCGA
rnacentral:rRNA from 1 species